GAGAGAAGUAAAGAAGAGAAGGAAAGAGAAGUGAAGAAGAAGGAAGAAAAGGGGAACAGGUGCUUGUUGUGUGACACCGGGGUUAGAUCUUUUGAAUCCGACACCGGAAAAGUGAUUCUCGCCUUGAGAUCUACAAUUUAAGGUUUUAGGAGAAGAAAUCGUGAGAUUUGAAAGGCAUUUGAUGAUAUAAGGAACAGACGUUGUUGUCGGCUUCCUCGAUCUACUGAGAAGGUAGUUACUAGAUAAAAGUAUGUCAUCAAGCAGUCCUAAUGAAACCAAUAGCUCUCAAGUUCCAUUAAUAUGUAGGAACUUAAGAUGUGACUAUCAAAAAAGGGUAGCUAUUUGGAUUUAAGAUGUGGGUGCACCAAAUGGGAUUAUUAUGGCCAGAGAUAUUACUCCAACAAUUGUAGAUGAAAGAAAUGUACAAAUGGAGUAGAUGAAGGAAGAGCUAACAAAUCUUACUGAAGAGAUCCGUAGUAUGAAUCCCUGAGUGUGAUGGGUCAUAUUUUAAUAGCUAUGCUAAUAGUGAUUUUUAUAUAUUUGAGUGGAUAAGAUAAUAUGUGUUUAAAUUUCUGAAGAACUAUA